rnacentral:lncRNA from 1 species
AUGGUUCACUAUUCACUUGACCCAGAAAACUCCAUGAAAUCAUGCAAAUAAAGAGGUUCAAAUCUUCAUGUUCACUCUAAGGACACCCAUGAAACUGCCCAGGCCAUCAAGAGUACGCCUAUAUGAAAAGCCAGCAAAUGUCUGAAAGAUGUCACUGUAUGGAAACAAUGUGUACCAUUCCAACGUUACGAGGGUGGAGUUGGUAGGAGUGCCCAGACCAAACAGUGGGGCUGGGCACGCAGUUUGUGACCCCAAAAGAAUUGAAUUCUUGCUGUACACACUUAAAAAUGCAGAGAGUAAUGCUGAACGUAAGGGUUGAGCUGUAGAUUCUCUGGUCGUCGAGGAUAUUCAGGCGCACAAAGCACCCAAGAUGUGCCACCAGACUUCCAGAGCUCAUGGUUGGAUUAACUCAUGCCUAAGCUCCCCCUGCCACAUAGAGACAAUCUUCCUGAAGAAGCACACCGUGUUCCUAAACCAGAAGAGGAGGUGCACAGAAGAAAAAGCUAUCCUAGAAGAUACUGAAGAAGCAAAAACUUACAGCACGGGAAUAA